AGUGGAUCGGACAGUCGCGGCGGCAAGGCGAAAGCCUGCCGAUGAGGAAAGUCCGGGCUCCACAGGGCAAGGAUAACGGGUAACGCCCGCCGAAGGCGACUUCAGGACAAGUGCAACAGAGAUAUACCGCCCCGCUGUCAUUCCUCAGGGAGUGCGGCGGAGGCAAGGGUGGAAAGGUGAGGUAAGAGCUCACCCGAUGGCGCGGAAGCGUUCAUCGCUGUAAACUCUAUCCGGAGCAACACCGGUGUGGGGACGAUGGCUGGCCCGGCCGUCCCCGGGGUGGCUUGAGCGUGCCGGCAACGGUACGCCUAGAUAGAUGACUGUCAAGACAGAACCCGGCUUACAGAUCGGCUCG
rnacentral:RNase_P_RNA from 1 species